GAUAACCCUUGGGAAACUGGGUCUAAUACCGGAUAGGACACUGUUUAAUGUCAUUGUGGAAAGUUUUUUCGGUGCAAGAUGAGCUCGCGGCCUAUCAGCUUGUUGGUGGGGUAAUGGCCUACCAAGGCGUCGACGGGUAGCCGGCCUGAGAGGGUGUACGGCCACAUUGGGACUGAGAUACGGCCCGGACUCCUACGGGAGGCAGCAGUGGGGAAUAUUGCACAAUGGGCGGAAGCCUGAUGCAGCGACGCCGCGUGGGGGAUGAAGGCCUUCGGGUUGUAAACUCCUUUCGACAGGGACGAAGCGUAAGUGACGGUACCUGUAUAAGAAGCACCGGCUAACUACGUGCCAGCAGCCGCGGUAAUACGUAGGGUGCGAGCGUUGUCCGGAAUUACUGGGCGUAAAGAGCUCGUAGGUGGUUUGUCGCGUCGUCUGUGAAAUUCCGGGGCUUAACUCCGGGCGUGCAGGCGAUACGGGCUGACUUGAGUGCUGUCACGGGGAGACUGGAAUUCCUGGUGUAGCGGUGAAAUGCGCAGAUAUCAGGAGGAACACCGAUGGCGAAGGCAGGUCUCUGGGCAGUAACUGACGCUGAGGAGCGAAAGCAUGGGUAGCGAACAGGAUUAGAUACCCUGGUAGUCCAUGCCGUAAACGCGCCGCUAGGUGUAGGGGGCUUCCACGUCUUCUGUGCCGUAGCUAACGCAUUAAGCGCCCCGCCUGGGGAGUACGCCGCAAG
rnacentral:rRNA from 1 species